AAAUUACAAAAAUGGUCAUAACAGUCACUUAUCCGUUUGGUAAAGUAUCAAUUAUAAAAUCAAUAAUUCUAUUAAAAUUUAAUCAUCUGUUCUUUUCAGUUAAAGAUGAUAAUAUGCUAGGUGAAAUUAAUAGUAAAAUGUCCUUCGAUCAUAUAAGAUGAUAAUCCUGUCAAGAUAAAGCGGGAUCUUCUGUGUCAAGAAUACUAAAGUGGGGGCCUAAUAUAAUUGAUUUGAGAAACUUUAUAAAAUGUUUAAAACCUACUUGGGUACAUGUAGAAAAUUUUGUAUUUUGGGAUAGAAGAUUUUGAGAGUCAUUUACCUUCAC
rnacentral:lncRNA from 1 species